UUCGAGCGGCGGUCGCGCUGCCGGCCCAGACCUGUCGGGAUCGGUAGCCGCAUGGCUGCGCCCAUCUCGGGCCGCGGAGCCCGGAACCUGCUGCAGUUCCUGCGGCUGGUGGGGCAGCUCAAGAGAGUCCCACGUACUGGCUGGGUAUACAGAAAUGUCCAGAAGCCAGAGAGCGUAUCAGAUCACAUGUAUAGGAUGGCAAUUAUGGCUCUGGUGACCAAAGAUGAACAUCUUAACAAAGACCGAUGUGUACGCCUAGCCCUGGUUCAUGAUAUGGCAGAAUGCAUCGUUGGGGACAUAGCACCAGCAGAUAACAUCCCCAAAGAAGAAAAACAUAGGCGAGAAGAGGAAGCUAUGAAGCAGCUAACCCAGCUCCUCCCAGAGGAUCUCAGAAAAGAGCUCUAUGAACUCUGGGAAGAAUAUGAGACCCAAUCUAGUGCAGAAGCUAAAUUUGUGAAGCAGCUGGACCAAUGUGAAAUGAUUCUUCAGGCAUCUGAAUAUGAAGACCUUGAGAACAAACCUGGGAGACUGCAGGACUUCUUCAAUUCCACAGCAGACCUUGAUUAUGAGAAUAUUUAUCACCAGACAAGAAAUAUAUGAGUUAUACUGGGUCACGGGACCUUUUGGAGAGAACACAUCCGACCCGACUUCUUCCCCUCAUUUCCCUUUCAUAGGAUACCUGUGCUGCUUGUCUGGAAUUGGUCUUCUGAAUAACAAACCCUAGAACUAUGUUGCCGAGUAAAUAAUUAUUCUUGGGUUGAACUGUUGGUUCGCAGACUGGCUCCUCUACACGGAGGGCAAGGAGAGACGGAAGAAGAGGCAGGCACUCCAGCUUAGUAGGUGGCCAGUUCACAAGCAAGGCAACUUACAUAUGCAGCUUGUCUGGGGCAGCCUCAAGACAAGAUCUCUGCACUCACCUGUCAGAAUCUUGAGUUUAUAUAGAAGCUUUAACUGGCUUCAGUCAGUCAUGUGUACCAUCCAGAUAGUCUCAACCAUUUCUGUCUCAAGGCAGCAUCCUUGAAACAGCUCCUAGUGUGGGAAUGGUAGGUGGAACACACAUUACAUGCACAGGGAUGGGGUGAGGACCCUCUGAUUGCCUGGGUCCAGCUCUCUGGUCAGCUGGUGGUCACAUCCUCCUGAUGACCUCCUCCAGCAUGAACUCAACAAAAAAAAGAAUUCCUUGUUACCUCUUAGGAAUGAGGAAGAGACUACCCCGCACUCAAAAAGAGGAGCAGCUGGAAGGGUUGGUCUGCAGGGGGCACCUCAGGCUAGUUCUCCCUGCCUCUUCCCUGGGGCUGAUCUGGGUCGGGUGGAGGUGGGGGUGGUUCCUUCUCCAAAACAAUUCCUUGUUUUCCCAUUGUUUGUGGGCUACCAUUUCCCUAGCUCUUAGGUAAUUCUCAAUGCCCUUAUAUUUGACAAAUAGUAAUUCUAACAGAAUGGCCAACCUGUUCAUCUUAAAGUCUUGUAACAUAUGCUCUGGGAUAAAUGACUAACGAAGUGCCUUGGGAAGAGCAUCCUCUGUACCCUGCAUUUUUAUUUAAGUAACUUGCCAGUCUUUAUAGACAAAGUGAGAUUGGGGAUGAUUUCUGUGGGAGACUUAGGAUUAUGUUAUUUGUGGUUUGCCUUGAUAUAUGUACUCUUUAUGGUAGAAACUGAAAGUCAAGUAGAAAUAAAAUAAAGAACUUUACCAUUCUUAAAUAAAGAUUAUCAAAAAUAACCAUAA